AUUGAACGCUGGCGGCAGGCCUAACACAUGCAAGUCGAGCGAGCGGCGGACGGGUGAGUAAUGUAUGGGGACUGCCCGAUAGAGGGGGAUAACUAAUGGAAACGGUGGCUAAUACCGCAUACUGUAGGAUAACACAUAUGGGAUUAGCUAGUAGGUACGGUAAUGGCUUACCUAGGCGACGAUCCCUAGCUGGUCGGAGAGGAAGAUCAGACACACUGGGACGUGGACACGGCCCAGAAUCCAAGGGAGGCAGCAGUGGGGAAUAUUGCACAAUGGGCGCAAGCCUGAUUCAGCCAUGCCGCGUGUAUGAAGAAGGCCCUCGGGUUGUAAAGUACUUUCAGUCGGGAGGCGUUACCGACAGAAGAAGCACCGGCUAACUCCGUGCCAGCAGCCGCGGUAAUAC
rnacentral:rRNA from 1 species